rnacentral:rRNA from 1 species
UGGCUCCUAGGGGCAUGUGCACGCCUGCUGUUGUUUCUUCUCCACCUGUGCACCUUUUGUAGGCCUGGAUAUCUCUCGAGGAAACUCGGCUUGAGGAACUGCCAUUACCUUUUAAUGGGCUUUUCUUACAUUUCCUGGUCUAUGUUUUUUCCAUAUACUCCAUUAGCAUGUUAUAGAAUGUUUGUCAACAGGCUUUUCAUAGCCUUUUAAACUUAUACAACUUUCAACAACGGAUCUCUUGGCUCUCGCAUCGAUGAAGAACGCAGCGAAAUGCGAUAAGUAAUGUGAAUUGCAGAAUUCAGUGAAUCAUCGAAUCUUUGAACGCACCUUGCGCUCCUUGGUAUUCCGAGGAGCAUGCCUGUUUGAGUGUCAUUAAAAUUUCAACCCAACCAGUUUGUCUUACAGCUGACUUGGGCUUGGAUUUGGGAGUUUGCAGGCUCUGUAAUAGAGGUCUGCUCUUCUUAAAAGCAUUAGCAGGACUUGUUACAACUGGUCUUUGGUGUGAUAAUUAUCUAAGCCAGUGCUACAGUUGUAGAUUUUUGAGUUCAGCUUCUAAUAGUCCAUUCAC